rnacentral:lncRNA from 1 species
UGAGAGCUUUCCUUUCGAGAAUUGUAAGAGAUAAUUAUUUAUUAUAUUCAAACUGCACUCUUUUUCCCUACAUCAAGGUUUUAUCCCACUGGGUUUUCCUUGAUGAGGUUUUUAAUGAGGCAGUUGACCAAUAAUUUGGUAUGCAUUGUUGUUAUUUUGGGUUUUGGUCUAGUCCCCCCAAGCUUUUUCUUUUUUAUUUUAAUAAUAUUUGGUUAAAGUUGAGCAUUUUGAAUGUGGAUGCAAAUGUGCCAACAUAGUUGGGAUGUAUGUGGCUUCAUCUUUUGCUUCACUUUAACUUCUAUUGGUGCUUAAAUUGGAAAAAUUAGCAGAAAAAAUUUUGGUCAGGAACAGUGGGAGGGGGGUGUUUGAAUGAAUUUUCUGGUGAGUUGGAGGUGCAUACUUUGAAUGUAUUGUUGUUUUGAUUGUAUAUUUGGUCAUUUUAGAAUGUCAUUUGUUGAAAGAUUAUAAUUUCUUUUAGAUUCAAUGCAUUUCAUUUAGAUUAAAUUA